rnacentral:ncRNA from 2 species
CGAUUGGGUAGAGGCUGCAUUGCUUAAGAGUAGCAUACGUGAGAUUGACAUCGUUGACUGUAUGUAAAAGGAAGUAGUGCCGAAACUUAAUAGAAAAGUCAAAGUCUAUUAGGUUGGGGUUAUUCCGAAUAGGGAUAACACUGUCACACGUUUGUAAUGACGUUUGAUGAGCUACAAGUCGU